rnacentral:rRNA from 1 species
AUUGAACGCUGGCGGCAUGCCUUACACAUGCAAGUCGAACGGCAGCACGGGAGCAAUCCUGGUGGCGAGUGGCGAACGGGUGAGUAAAGUAUCGGAACGUGCCCAGUCGUGGGGGAUAACGUAGCGAAAGUUACGCUAAUACCGCAUACGAUCUAUGGAUGAAAGCGGGGGAUCGCAAGACCUCGCGCGAUUGGAGCGGCCGAUAUCAGAUUAGGUAGGUGGUGGGGUAAAGGCUCACCAAGCCGACGAUCUGUAGCUGGUCUGAGAGGACGGCCAGCCACACUGGGACUGAGACACGGCCCAGACUCCUACGGGAGGCAGCAGUGGGGAAUUUUGGGCAAUGGGCGAAAGCCUGAUCCAGCCAUGCCGCGUGCAGGAUGAAGGCCUUCGGGUUGUAAACUGCUUUUGUACGGUACGAAAAGGUUUGGCCUAAUAAGCUGAGCUCAUGACGGUACCGUAAGAAUAAGCACCGGCUAACUGCGUGCCAGCCGCCGCCGUAA